GACGAACGCUGGCGGCGUGCUUAACACAUGCAAGUCGAACGGAAAGGCCCUGCUUUUGUGGGGUGCUCGAGUGGCGAACGGGUGAGUAACACGUGAGUAACCUGCCCUUGACUUUGGGAUAACUUCAGGAAACUGGGGCUAAUACCGGAUAGGAGCUCCUGCUGCAUGGUGGGGGUUGGAAAGUUUCGGCGGUUGGGGAUGGACUCGCGGCUUAUCAGCUUGUUGGUGGGGUAGUGGCUUACCAAGGCUUUGACGGGUAGCCGGCCUGAGAGGGUGACCGGCCACAUUGGGACUGAGAUACGGCCCAGACUCCUACGGGAGGCAGCAGUGGGGAAUAUUGCACAAUGGGCGGAAGCCUGAUGCAGCAACGCCGCGUGCGGGAUGACGGCCUUCGGGUUGUAAACCGCUUUCGCCUGUGACGAAGCGUGAGUGACGGUAAUGGGUAAAGAAGCACCGGCUAACUACGUGCCAGCAGCCGCGGUGAUACGUAGGGUGCGAGCGUUGUCCGGAUUUAUUGGGCGUAAAGGGCUCGUAGGUGGUUGAUCGCGUCGGAAGUGUAAUCUUGGGGCUUAACCCUGAGCGUGCUUUCGAUACGGGUUGACUUGAGGAAGGUAGGGGAGAAUGGAAUUCCUGGUGGAGCGGUGGAAUGCGCAGAUAUCAGGAGGAACACCAGUGGCGAAGGCGGUUCUCUGGGCCUUUCCUGACGCUGAGGAGCGAAAGCGUGGGGAGCGAACAGGCUUAGAUACCCUGGUAGUCCACGCUGUAAACGGUGGGUACUAGGUGUGGGGUCCAUUCCACGGGUUCCGUGCCGUAGCUAACGCUUUAAGUACCCCGCCUGGGGAGUACGGCCGCAAGGCUAAAACUCAAAGGAAUUGACGGGGCCCCGCACAAGCGGCGGAGCAUGCGGAUUAAUUCGAUGCAACGCGUAGAACCUUACCUGGGUUUGACAUGGAUCGGGAGUGCUCAGAGAUGGGUGUGCCUCUUUUGGGGUCGGUUCACAGGUGGUGCAUGCCUGUCGUCAGCUCGUGUCGUGAGAUGUUGGGUUAAGUCCCGCAACGAGCGCAACCCUUGUUCACUGUUGCCAGCACGUUAUGGUGGGGACUCAGUGGAGACCGCCGGGGUCAACUCGGAGGAAGGUGGGGAUGACGUCAAGUCAUCAUACCCCUUAUGUCCAGGGCUUCACGCAUGCUACAAUGGCUGGUACAGAGAGUGGCGAGCCUGUGAGGGUGAGCGAAUCUCGGAAAGCCGGUCUCAGUUCGGAUUGGGGUCUGCAACUCGACCUCAUGAAGUCGGAGUCGCUAGUAAUCGCAGAUCAGCAACGCUGCGGUGAAUACGUUCCCGGG
rnacentral:rRNA from 1 species